GACGGACGCUGGCGGCGUGCUUAACACAUGCAAGUCGAACGGUAAGGCCCUUCGGGGUACACGAGUGGCGAACGGGUGAGUAACACGUGGGUGAUCUGCCCUGCACUCCGGGAUAAGCCUGGGAAACUGGGUCUAAUACCGGAUAGGACCACUGCCUGCAUGGGUGGUGGUGGAAAGCUUUUGCGGUGUGGGAUGGGCCCGCGGCCUAUCAGCUUGUUGGUGGGGUGAUGGCCUACCAAGGCGACGACGGGUAGCCGGCCUGAGAGGGUGACCGGCCACACUGGGACUGAGAUACGGCCCAGACUCCUACGGGAGGCAGCAGUGGGGAAUAUUGCACAAUGGGCGCAAGCCUGAUGCAGCGACGCCGCGUGAGGGAUGACGGCCUUCGGGUUGUAAACCUCUUUCAGCACCGACGAAGCGCAAGUGACGGUAGGUGCAGAAGAAGGACCGGCCAACUACGUGCCAGCCGCCGCAGUAA
rnacentral:rRNA from 1 species